AGGACGAACGCUUGCGACGUGCCUAAGAAAUGCAAGUCGAACGGGUGUCACCCUUCGGGGUGGCGCUAGUGGCGAACGGUCGCGUAACACGUGGGCAACCUGCCCUGAAGCGGGGGACAACAACUCGAAAGAGUUGCUAAUACCGCAUGUGGACCCGGAGUGGCAUCACCCCGGAUCCAAAGCCGCAAGGCACUUCAGGAUGGGCCCGCGGCCUAUCAGCUAGUUGGUGAGGUAACGGCCCACCAAGGCUUCGACGGGUAGCUGGUCUGAGAGGACGAUCAGCCGGAUUGGGACUGAGAUACGGCCCAGACUCCUACGGGGGGCAGCAAUUAGGAAUCUUGCGCAAUGGGCGAAAGCCUGACGCAGCGACGUCGCGUGAAGGAUGAAAUCUUUCGGGAUGUAAACUUCUUUUUCGGGAAGAAACAAUGACGGUACCCGGAGAAUAAGCCCGGCUAACUACGCGCCAGCAGCCGC
rnacentral:rRNA from 1 species